UUUCCGUAGGUGAACCUGCGGAAGGAUCAUUAAUGAGUUGUCAUGGGGUUCGAUGCUGGCAGCCAAUUUUUGGAUGCAUGUGCUUGCCCUAACAAUCAUCUUCCAAACACCUGUGCACAUUUUUGAGGGAGUCUUGAGUUGGUUGCCGCUCUUGGGUGAUUUUCUCACAUUCCCUUAAAUCAUUAUACGCUAUUAACAAUGUUGAACGUGCUCUGUGCCGCAAGGCUAUUAAUAUAAUACAACUUUUAACAACGGAUCUCUUGGCUCUCGCGUCGAUGAAGAACGCAGC
rnacentral:misc_RNA from 1 species